UAGCAGGAUUAGUUACAGUGCAGCUUGUGUGGUGCUGUGCUGUCGUUCCCCCUGCAAACAGUAACCUGUUUCCAGCUAUCCCUGUCUGUCUAAAUACCCCAGGCAACCAGGGACGCAAGGUCUCAGACAU
rnacentral:snoRNA from 1 species